rnacentral:lncRNA from 1 species
UCACCAGGAAAUGAUUGCCCAUGUUCCAAAAUUUCAUCCUUGAAACCUAAGUGGCAUGAACCACCAUCAUCAAGACAAUAUUGCCUAGAAAAUUCUACAACAGCUCUGGUAGCUAGGCUUGCAUGUUCUGCAAACUCAGCCGCUACUUGAGCAGCAGAGGUAGCAUCCUUAAAUUUCAUGUUCCAAUUCUGCCUGCCAACAGAAAAAUUUCCAUUACCAUCACCAGGAAAUGCUUGCCCAUGUUCUAACCUUUCAUCCUUGAAACCUAAGUGGCAUGAACCACCAUCAUCAAUACAAUAUUGCCUUGAAAGUUCUCCAACAGCUCUGGCAGCUAGGCAUGCAUGUUCUGCAAACUCAGUCGCUACUUGAGCAGCUGAGGUAGAAUCCUCAAAUUUCAUGUUCCAAUUCUGCUUGCCAAUAGAAAACUUACCAUUACCAUCUCCAGGAAAUGAUUGCCCAUGUUCCAACCUUUCAUGCUUGAAACCUAAGUGGCAUGAACUACCAUCAUCAACACAAUAUUGCCUUGAAAGCUCUACAACAGCUCUGGCAGCUAGGCUGGCAUGUUCUGCAAACUCAGCCGCUGCUUGAGCAGCAGAGGUAAAAUCCUUAAAUUUCAUGUUCUAAUUCUGCUUGCCAACAGAAAAAUUACCAUUACCAUCUCUAGGAAAUGCUUGCCCAUGUUUCAACCUUUCUUCCUUGAAACCUAAGUUGCAUGAACCACCAUCAUCAACACAAUAUUGCCUUGAAAGUUCUCCAACAGCUCUGGUAGCUAGGCUUCCAUGUUCUCCAAACUCAGCCGCUGCUUGAACAGCAGAGGUAGUAUCUUUAAAUUUCAUGUUCCAAUACUGCCUACCAACAGAAAAAUUACCAUUACCAUCUCAAGGAAAUGCUUGCCCAUGUUCCAACCUUUCAUCCUUGAAACCUAAGUGGCAUGAACCACCAUCAUCAACACAAUAUUUCCUUGAAAGUUCUGCAACAGCUCUGGCCGCUAGGCUUUCAUGUUCUACAAACUCAGUCGCUACUUGAGCAGCUGAGGUAGCAUCCUUAAAUUUCAUGUUCCAAUUCUGCUUGCCAACAGAAAAAUUACCAUUACCAUCUCCAGGAAAUGCUUGCCCAUGUUCAAAACUUUCAUCGUUGAAACCUAAGUGGCAUGAACCACCAUCAUCAGCAUAAUAUUGCCUUGAAAGUUCUCCAACAUCUCUGACAGCUAGGCUUGCAUGUUCUCCAAACUCAGCCACUGCUUGAGCAGCUGAGGUAGCAUCCUUAAAUUUCAUAUUCCAAUACUGCCUACCAACAGAAAAAUUACCAUUACCAUCUCAAGGAAAUGAUUGCCCAUGUUCCAACCUU